AUUGAACGCUGGCGGCAUGCCUUACACAUGCAAGUCGAACGGUAGCAGGUUAAGCUGACGAGAGGCGAACGGGUGAGUAAUGUAUCGGAACGUGCCCAGUCGUGGGGGAUAACUACUCGAAAGAGUGGCUAAUACCGCAUGCGACCUGAGGGUGAAAGCGGGGGACCGUAAGGCCUCGCGCGAUUGGAGCGGCCGAUAUCAGAUUAGCUAGUUGGUGGGGUAAAAGCCCACCAAGGCGACGAUCUGUAGCUGGUCUGAGAGGACGACCAGCCACACUGGGACUGAGACACGGCCCAGACUCCUACGGGAGGCAGCAGUGGGGAAUUUUGGACAAUGGACGCAAGUCUGAUCCAGCCAUGCCGCGUGCGGGAAGAAGGCCUUCGGGUUGUAAACCGCUUUUGUCAGGGAAGAAACGAGUUUCUCUAAUACAGAGACUUAAUGACGGUACCUGAAGAAUAAGCACCGGCUAACUACGUGCCAGCCGCCGCCGUAAGAC
rnacentral:rRNA from 1 species